rnacentral:rRNA from 1 species
GUACCCCGGUAGGGGAGUGAAAUAGAACUUGAAACCGUGUGCUUACAAGUAGUCAUAGCCCGUUAAUGGGUGAUGGCGUGCCUUUUGUAGAAUGAACCGGCGAGUUACGAUUUGAUGCAAGGUUAAGCAGUAAAUGUGGAGCCGUAGCGAAAGCGAGUCUGAAUAGGGCGUUGAGUAUUUGGUCGUAGACCCGAAACCAGGUGAUCUACCCAUGCCCAGGCUGAAGUUCAGGUAACACUGAAUGGAGGGCCGAACCGACUUACGUUGAAAAGUGAGCGGAUGAGUUGUGGGUAGCGGAGAAAUUCCAAUCGAACCUGGAGAUAGCUGGUUCUCUCCGAAAUCUCUUUAUGGGUUGCCUCGGAAUCGAGAAUCUUGGAGGUAGAGCACUGUUUGGACGAGGGGCCCGUCAUGGGUUACCGACUUCAGAUAAAC